rnacentral:siRNA from 1 species
UGGUGUGUUGAUGUGUCAUU